GAAAACUACAUGAUAGAUAGAUCAAGUAUUCCGUAUGCCAUGUCAAAAUUUAUGUAAAAAUAAGGGGGCACGACAAAAAAACGAUCUCUUAGAGUGUGAAAUUUGCCAACGAAACAACCGACUGCAUGGAUGGUUUGCCAGCUCAUGUUUUGUUUUUGUCGUCAAAUAUUGCUGAAACUUGAACAGAAUUGCAAUCAACCUAAUUGCUAUUAUCAUUCCUUGUAAUUUGCAGCAUAUAAUGUUGCGGUUAUAGUAGAGAGAAACAUGUAUGUGCUUAGUGUCUGACAUCAUUGCUUCUAUUUGGGAUGUCUAUUUUAAUUCUCUGAAGUGGAACGAUGAAGAUGACCAUAGUCACGGCUUCAAGAUGAAGACCGUGAGCUUUUGUGGGGUUGGGGGGAGAGAGAGAGAGAGGCAACACAAGGAAAAUGAAGAAUAGGACAAAUUUUCUUAAUUAGAGAAUGGAUAAAGGGUUAUUUGUGGGAGUUUUUCCAGUGCAUUUAAAGGGAACUUUUUGUGGCAUUCUGUAUGAUUCACAACAGUCGGAUAUUCAUCGAGACUUUGUUGGUCUUAGAUGAAUCUCUUUCUCUGUCCUUUAAAUUUUAGGUGGAUGAGUGCCCGGACAUCCCCGGUGCACCUUGAUGGAUUCUUCCUGCGCUUGCGUCUUGAAAAGUGGGAAGAAGGACUUGGAGGAACUGGUUAUUAUGUAGCUUGCAUAACUGCCAUGGUCAAGUUGCCGCUGCCGCAAGAUCUAGAGGUGUGCCUCCAGAUCUGGAGGCUCGGCAUCCAGGGCUGAGGCGUAGCUCACACCUAGCUCAAACAGAAAAAACAGAGGCAACUUUGCUCGAUGCCUGUGUCCAUGGCCAAGGCUUAGCUCGAGGCUUAGGCUCUGUCCAUUGCCAAUGCUUGGCUCGGUGUCCAUGGCUCCACAUCGGUGGACGAGGCUUAACUUGAUGCCGUGUCGAGUGCUGCCAUCGGCAGCGAUCUCGACGGCGGCAUCGAGCUCAAAUAGAGAGAGAUUAAGAAAGAGGGAUGGGGGCAUAUAGAGGGACAUGGGCUGCAGGGACAAAGACCAAUUGAGAGGACUUGUCUUAGGGAGUGCAGCAACAGCAGGGCGGCGGAUGUCAAUGGUGGGGUUGGGGGCUGCAGUGGCUCAGGCAGUGGAGAAGCAUGGGGGGCUCUAUCUCUGUACAGAAGGUGGAAGAGAGAGAGAGAGAGAGAGAGAGAGAGAUUUUAAUGUUUUGAUCUACUAUGGGUGAGAUUAAGGUGUGGCGGAGUGGCUCCACAUGUUUUUUUGUGCUUGGAGACAGCAGAUGGGACUAUAGUAGGAGACAGCAUGCAUCCAAUGCAUCAAUACCCAAAUCUGGGAUCCUUACUGGAGGUUUGUGGCAUGUGGAACUUAAUGUGCAGGAAUGCAAAGAGAUAAUUCAUCCGGAAGAAAUGCUAUUGCUGUGAACAUUGGUGGAGUCAAAUGUCUCGUUGAAAGUCAAUACAUCUCCAACUAUGAUUUUCUUGAGGAUGAGUUAAUGGCCUGGUUGUGUAUGACGUCCCGAGCCGGCGGCAAGAUUCCGACUGAGGAAAAUCUGAGGAUGAAAGUGGAGGAGAAGAAGAGGCUCGGGUUUUGAAGCGCUCGUGCCAUCUCAGGAGCCAUCUGAGUUUUCACCAAAUGAAGAUUUGAAGACGGGACGAAGUCAAAAUCCGACUUGUAUAUAGAAUUUUGACGUUUGCUUAGUUGCUCAAAGAAUUUUCUGCAUUCAUCCGAAUAAAGAAUUUUUUUUCAUA